UUUUAGCCCCGAUGGAAGUGACAUCCUUUUGUGGUGGUGUUCACCACAAAAGAUAUAGCGAACAACGGGAUCAGCU
rnacentral:sRNA from 1 species